UACGGGGGGGGCAAGCGUUGUUCGGAAUUACUGGGCGUAAAGGGCGUGUAGGUGGCCAACUAAGUCCGACGUGAAAUCCCCAGGCUUAACCUGGGAACUGCGUCGGAUACUGGAUGGCUUGAAUUCGGGAGAGGGAUGCAGAAUUCCAGGUGUAGCGGUGAAAUGCGUAGAUAUCAGGAGGAAUACCGAUGGCGAAGGCAGGUCUCUGGGCUGACACUGACGCUCAUGCACGAAAGCGUGGGGAGCAAACAGG
rnacentral:rRNA from 1 species